rnacentral:rRNA from 1 species
UAAUGUAUGGGGAUCUGCCCGAUAGAGGGGAUAACUACUGGAAACGGUGGCUAAUACCGCAUAAUGUCUACGGACCAAAGCAGGGGCUCUUCGGACCUUGCACUAUCGGAUGAACCCAUAUGGGAUUAGCUAGUAGUGGGGUAAAGGCUCACCUAGGCGACGAUCUCUAGCUGGUCUGAGAGGAUGAUCAGCCACACUGGGACUGAGACACGGCCCAG